UACGUAGGUGGGUAAUCAAGUUAGUUGUGAAAUCCCGGGGCUUAACUCCGGUGCUACAAUUAAGACUGUUUAUCUUGAGUGCAGGAGGGGUAAGUGGAAUUCCUAGUGUAGCGGUGGAAUGCGUAGAUAUUAGGAGGAACACCAGUGGCGAAGGCGACUUACUGGACUGUAACUGACACUGAAGUACGAAAGCGUGGGGAGCAAACA
rnacentral:rRNA from 1 species